GCAGCGAUGCCUCAGUCGAUACAGCACGAGACUCUUAAUCUCAGGGUUGUGGGUUCGAGCCCCACUUAGGGCA